rnacentral:lncRNA from 1 species
UUUGUGGAUUGGGGCUAAGAGAGGAAAAGGAUUAUGGGAGGCCAGAGGCGGUCUCAGGCCCUGCCCAGUUUCCUGUCACUCAGCUGAGUCCUCCCUGAGAGGGAAACCAGGCAAACCAGACACAGAAUCACAGCUCAGUGACCCAAACCAGGUGCCAAUUUUCUACUCAGUCCUUUCUUUGCUUCUCAAAUUGCAGCAUUUAAUGAGGUAAAACAUCAGAUUAUGGAGAACUUUUUUUUUUUUUUUUAAUGAGAAUUCAGGGAAGUUUCUAGGUUGGCUGAGAAGUAUGAAAGUAUUUAACCUCUGCUCAGAGAACUGCUCUUUAUUAACAUUUUCCCUUCCACUGUAGCUCGCAAAACUGCACUUUCUCAAACAAGUUCACCAUUUGGCGUUUGGAUCUGGUUAUAGCCAGACGGUGGGUAUCACUGUUACAAAUCAGCCUGGAGCUUGAUUUAAGCACCAGCAGGUUUUUCAGGGAAAACACUUGUGGGAAGAAAGAAGAGCCAAACGGUGCUGUUCUGAGAAGAAGUGGCCACUUGGACAGCAGAGGAUGCGGAGGGUGUUCCCCUCCCCUGUUUUUAACGGCUCAGGGAUUGCAUGGAGGCCCACUCUUUGGGAAGGAUGAUCCAGGAUGUAGUCCAUGAAUCCCACUGAAGAGUGGCUUUUUGAGCAGUGACACAAGGAGGAUUGGUCCGGGACCAUGAAGUCAGCAGCAUUGGUGUGGACCUCGAUGUUUCUGAAGCUGAGGACACACCAAGGACAUAGGGAACAAAGGGAGAAGGAAGAGAGAAAGCCAGACUGGAAAUGAAGGCUUGUAGCAGGUCACCAUGGGUUUAAGGGCCAACAUAACCAGAGGACAGAGGAGCCCAGCAGAGCCUAAAGCUGCCCCAGGAUCCAGCAUCACCCUGACCUCUCUUCCUGGACUCAGCAGCCUUUCACAGUUAGGACUCUGAAGGGACCUAACUCCUGCCUUGGGAUCGAACUUGGGUCCUUGCACUUGCGCAGCAGGCAACAAAACCACUGAGCUAAAUCCCCGGCCUCUACAUUCCCUCUUAAAGCAGCUUCACAGAAGAAGUCCUGGAAACACAGAGACCCUGAGAUGACCACGUGGGGAGGAAGCCUGCCAUAGCCACAGACAGAGGCCACAGGGAGGAAUGACCAAGUUUCAGACAUGCAAAUGAAGCCACGAACCUUCCAGCAAGCGUAGCUGCAAGUGAAUUCAACUGAAUGAGUGAUCGUAGCCAAUGAAAAAAAAGAGCAGAAGACUCAUCCAGCUGACCUUACUAAAUCCACACAAUUGUGGGAAAGGAAGGGUAAAACAUGGCACUCUUAAACCACUAAGCUUUGGGGUGAUUUGUUACGCAGCAGUGCAUGAUGGAAACGCAGUAACAUGCUUUUUUCCUGUUAUUCAAUGUUUUAUACAAUUUCUCAGUUCUUUAACCUUAAGAAUCAAAAUAAAAGCAAAAGUAUGUAAAGUAGUCAUAGACUAUUUCAGACAGAUAUUAAAUGAGAAACAGGAAAUCCGAUUACAUUACCUGUCUGCUCUUAACCUCCACUCACUCUGCUCUUAACCUGUCACUCAGAACGGAAGGCCCAUGUGAUCUGUUCUCUUGCCCCUGACUCGGCUCCCACUGUUCAUUGCCUUUGGUGUUCUUUGAAUAUCAUGGGCAUGGUUCACCUUAGGCAUUUGCAUCUGCUGUUCCCUGUGCCUGGAGUGUUCCUUUUAUAGACAAAUUCAUGACAUAAAUUUCUCACCUUCUCUAGCUCUUUAUUCAUUUGUUACUUUAGUAAUGAAGCCUCCCCUAACCUCAUUUAAAAUCACUAAUCUCCCUUUUUCUGACCUGUAUUCCUUGCCUUGCUUUAUGUUUUUCCAUAGUCAUUCCCAUUUAGUGUACUGUUAUUGUUCAUCUUAAGAGUUCUUGCUUGGUUUUUUUUUUUAACUGUUACAGAUCUAGAACUUGAAAGUGUGUGGCAGUUAAGUGAAUGAAUGAAUUUUCUAAUAUGCGAAGUCUCACCUCUCCUGGUUUCAGGCUGAUGUGUGCUAGACAGCCUUCUCUGCUGGCAAGGUACAGCACUGCAGUCCAGCUCUGUUAAACAAGAAGAGGGAAUCACAGUGCGUGCUUAAGAAAACUUCAAGUUUAUGGACUAGAAGUCAACAAGCUUCCUGCAAAUGGCCAGACACAAAAUAUUUUAAGCUAUGUGAGCCCUCUGGUCUCUGCACAAGUAUUCAACUCUGUCCUUGUACCAUGGAGGCAGGUAUCAGCCGUGUGUAAACAAAUGAGUGUGGUGGUAUUCUUGUAUUUGUUAGCAAUGAAAUUUGAAUUUCAUAUAAUUUUAUAUGUCACGAAAUUUCUUUCUUUCUUCAAUUUUUUCCACAACUGAAAAAUGUAAAAACCAGUCUGGGCUUGCAGGCCAUAUAAAAAUAGAUGAAGAACCACAUUUGGCCCACAGGCUGUGGUUUGCUGAACAUUGCUAUUGACAAUCUCCAAGUGACCCAAAGUGUGGGAGAAGAAUUCAAUUUUGAAGGCAAACGACCAUAAGACUGUUCAUUUUUAAAGAAGUAUUAUUCAUAAUAUGACUUCAUGAAUAUUCAUAGUGAUUUCUGCAUUCCAGGCACUUUCAUAGCCAAUGUGCAUGGGUGAGAAAGUAUCAGGCACUGGCCAAGUGAAAAGAAUCAGUCUUUAGGCUCAGAAUGCCAAAUCUAUUAACUAGUUCAUGCUCCCUUCCUCUGAGAGAUGACAGGUGUGGGAAGGAUCUAUGAUACGCCAUCACAGAUAGGGUAACACAGGAAUCGGACUGAUGGGGGUGCUAAAAAGGAAAAGCCCAUGAAUGUAUCCUUUAGAUGGGCCAAUUAGCUCUGAUGGAUCUCUUGGAUGAAGUUUCAAUCCUUGUACCAGAUAGCUAUUAUAUCAGCCAGGGUUCUUCAGAGAAACAGAGCAAAUAGGAUAUAGAUUUAAUUACGAUGAAUUGACUCACAUGAUUAUGGAGGCGGAGAAGUCCCAUGGUCUGCUGUCUGUAAUUUGGAGACUCAACAAAGCCAGUUGUGUAAAUUCCAGUUCAAGUCCAAAGGCCUGAGAAUCAGAAAAGCCAAUGCUAUAACUCCCAGGCCAAGGAUAGAAAACCAAUGUCCCAGCGCUAGCAGUCAGGCAAAGAGCAAACUCAACCUCUCUUCACCUUUCUGUUCUAUUCAGGCUCUCAAAGGACUGGAUGACACCCGCUUACAUUGGAAGGACAUUCUGCUUUACCGAGGCCACCCAUUCUGAUGCUAACCACACAAACACAAAUACACACACACACACACACACACACACACACGCACGCACGCAACUUAACUGUUUGGGCAUCCCAUGGCCCAGUCAAGUUGACACCCUAAAUUAACCACUAAGCCUUCUCAUGUAGGUAGGAAAGCUUUGAAGGACGUGGAUGCUCAAAGGAGAACCAGUUCAAUCCCAGUUUCUUUCUGACCACAGAGUGAGCCACUUCAGGAAUCGAACUACCAGACAAUGUUGAGCUGAGUGUUGUGCUACAUGCCUGUAAUCCCAGCAGGCUUGGAGGUCAAGGAUUCCAAAGCCCAUCUUGGGCGACUUAGUGAGACUGUCUCAAAACAUAGACAGUGCUAGGGAGCAAAGACUCUGGGUUCAAUCCUCUCCACCACCGCUAUCACUGCUACGACCUCCACCACCACCACCACCCAGAUAGUGUUAAUGUCUUUGAAUAUGCUCAUAUCUACCAACUUAGAUACUCAUCUUUUUUUGUGGUGAGAACAUUAAAGAUACAUUCUCUUGGCAAACGUGAUCUUGAUUAUGUAGGAAUUGUGUUAGCUUUUCAUUGCUGUGACAAAAUACCUGAGAAUAACAACUUAAAGAGGAGAGCUUUAUUUCAGCUCAAAGUUCCAGAGAUUUCGGUCCAGUGGCCCCAUUGCUGUGGGCUGUGAGGAGGUUAAAGCUGCUCAUCUUAUGGAGGUCAGCAAGCAGAGAGAGAGAGGGGAAGAACCUGCGAGGGGCCAGGGACAGGACAUAAUCCAUAGUCCCGCAGGUCACACCUCUCAUGAUCCACUCCAUUCAACUAGGUCCCACGUCCUAUUUCCAUCACCUCCCAAUAAUGUCACGAAAUUAUUCUCAUCAGUGGUUUAAUCCACUUGAUGAAGUUAGAACCCUUAUGAUCCAACCGCUUCCCAAAAGCUCAUCACCUGGCAACCAAGCCUUCAACACAAUGAGCCUUUUGGGGACAUUAAAGAUCUCACUCAUAGCAGUAAUUUAUUAUGUCAAUUCCAAAACUAGUAAAAAUCCAUUUAGAAAAACAAACCGAAACAACAACAACAACAACAACAGCAGCAGAGAGUAGGAAAGCUCCCCUGUAUCUUUGGUGCCCUAUCUUUUGCUCUUUAUAUCUGACUUUUUGUUGUGGUGGUGUUUUAAUUUCAGCUCUCCCUUUUAAACUAUAUUUUCCACAUUGGUCAGAUCCUUGAGAGUGAAAGAAAAAGGUACCCUAUAUUCAUGUGUGGAGAUUUCCCCCUUCCCUUCUACUUCUUUUCCUUUCCCUGCCCUCUCAGGAGAAAAAAGCCCCCAAACAGAAAAAUAAACAAAAAUACAGUUCAUCGAAAGAAAAGUGAUAAAAAUAAUACAUGUUUUCACCGUCAAGAAAUUAUCUUUGUUCUGAGUUUCACUCCCCACACAGAAAAAGAAAAGAAAGAAAGAAAUCAUUAAGCUUUUUCUUUCCACAUUUAAAAAAAAAAAAUUACCUUACCAUAUACAACCUUUGGAACUUAAUUUCUCACUUUGUUAAUGUGUCUGACAAAUCUUUCCUUGCU